GGGCAGAGCUGAUUGGUUGCUCUGAAGACGUUAAAGAGAUGGUGCUGUUUCUGCUUUCUUUCUUUGAUGAGAAGGAAGACGUGAUGUUCUGCAAUGUGGAGGACACAUGCCUGGCAGGGGAAGUAAAGAUGGACCAAGUUCACUUGACUCCAACUAUGGUUGUUUGUGGACGAUCCUGCUAUUCUUCGAGACAGUUCAUGCGGUGUGUGGAUCGAAACAUUGUGCACAACAUCCCCUCCUUCAUUUCUGCCCUGUGCCUGAUGUUUGGGAGCUAUUAUUGCUUCAACAUCCAUUCUCCAUCAGAGCUGGCUUCAACCCUGGAGUUUCUGCAGAGGUGUUUUUUCUGCAUCAACCCAGAAAAGGGCACUAAAGUGGAAAAGACACGAACAUCCCGUCUUCAUGUGAACCCAAGAGUCCUUACCUUGAUUCAGGAACUCUCCGAUCAUGAGUGGCGUGAUGCCUGAAUAUGGACUAAACUAAGAGGCUUGUGGCAUGUGAGGUUGCGCCAUCAUUCAAAAUUUCAGCUCAUUUACCCAGUUCUUCAUGUUUGAGGGGCAAGUAAAAGUUUCACACAAAAUUGUUUGUGGCAAUUGUUAGUUGUAUUGCUCUUGUAUUUCCUCUAACAUCACUUCUUCAUGAGUCCUUAACUUGAUUCAGGGACUUUCUGAUGUGGCGCGAUGUUUGAACAUGGACUAAAUACAGUAAGACUUGUGGCAUGUGAUAAUGUGCAUCACCCACUGUUUAAAACUUUGUUUCAGCUCAUUAUCUGCCCAGCUCAUUAUCUGCCCACCUUUGUUUGAAGGUUUCCAACAAAGGUGUUUGUAUAUAAUUGUUACACUGCAAUAGUUUCAUUGCGGUUUUAUUUCCCCAUGCCUUUUAGAUAUUCAUAAAAUAGGAGUAAAGUCCAUCUUUACUCUUUAAGUUCUAGUAAGAUGGUCACUAAACUGUUGCAAGCUCUCUAUUCUGUUUAUAGAUUACAUACUGUAUUAGAAAUAUGGAUGUUGACAAAUUAAGGUUUUUGAUAUUUGCUCUGAGGCCAAUAAAUUAUUGGAAAGGCAAGUUAUUGUAUUUCUUUUUUUUAUAUUUCAAUUGGUAAGGUAUAUCUUUGUUUUUAAAACAGUGUUUUAUGUUUAAUCUGUGUACACGUUCCAUUUCUGGUAAGUGUCAAACGUCUAUAAAAGGCAGUGCCGAUUUAAUGAAUCAAUGAGUCAUAGAACAUUAGUUUUACGAAAAUGUAAUUACAGUUGUUAGAUGUCGCUUUCACGC